GUGGGGAAUAUUUGGCAAUGGGGGAAACCCUGACCCAGCGACGCCGCGUGAGGGAAGACGGCCUUCGGGUUGUAAACCUCUUUUGUACGGGAAGAAGGAAGUGACGGUACUGUACGAAUAAGUCCCGGCUAACUACGUGCCAGCAGCCGCGGUAAUACGUAGGGGACGAGCGUUGUCCGGAAUUACUGGGCGUAAAGGGCGCGCAGGCUGUGCUGCAAGUCAGCUGUGAAAUGUCUGGGCUUAACCCUUGCAUGCGGUUGAGACUGCAGUGCUGUAGAGCUGUAGAGGCAAGUGGAAUUGCCAGUGUAGCGGAGAAAUACGUAGAUAUUGGGAAGAACACCGCUUGCGAAGGCGACUUGCUGGGCAGCAACUGAUGCUGAGGCGCGAAAGCCAGGGAAGCAAACGGGAUUAGAUACCCGGGUAGUCC
rnacentral:rRNA from 1 species